GUGUAAUCUCAUUGUCGCCAUUAC
rnacentral:siRNA from 1 species